UCCUCGAUAGUACAGUGGUGAAUACACCCGCCUGAUGUGUGGGAGACCGGGGUUCGAUUCCUCGUCGGGGAG